rnacentral:rRNA from 1 species
UACAGAGGUCCCAAGCGUUGUUCGGAUUCACUGGGCGUAAAGGGUGCGUAGGCGGUCGGGUAAGUCUGACGUGAAAUCUCCAAGCUCAACUUGGAAAUGGCGUCGGAUACUAUUCGGCUCGAGGAAUGGAGGGGAGACUGGAAUUCUCGGUGUAGCAGUGAAAUGCGUAGAUAUCGGGAGGAACACCUGUGGCGAAAGCGGCGCACUGGACCACAACUGACGCUGAGGCGCGAAAGCUAGGGGAGCAAACAGG